rnacentral:rRNA from 1 species
GAUGAACGCUGGCGGCGUGCCUAAUACAUGCAAGUCGAGCGAACAGAUGAGAAGCUUGCUUCUCUGAUGUUAGCGGCGGACGGGUGAGUAACACGUGGGUAACAUACCUAUAAGACUGGGAUAACUCCGGGAAACCGGGGCUAAUACCGGAUAAUAUUUUGAACCGCAUGGUUCAAUAGUGAAAGACGGUUUCGGCUGUCACUUAUAGAUGGACCCGCGCCGUAUUAGCUAGUUGGUAAGGUAACGGCUUACCAAGGCGACGAUACGUAGCCGACCUAAGAGGGUGAUCGGCCAGACUGGAACUGCGACACGGUCCAGACUCCUACGGCAGGCAGCAGUAGGGAAUCAUCCGCAAUGGGCGAUAGCCUGACGGAGCAACGCCGCGUGAGUGAUGAAGGUCUUCGGAUCGUAAAACUCUGUUGUUAGGGAAGAACAAAUUUGUUAGUAACUGAACAAGUCUUGACGGUACCUAACCAGAAAGCCACGGCUAACUACGUGCCAGCCGCCGCAGUAA